rnacentral:rRNA from 1 species
UGGGGAAUUUUGGACAAUGGGCGAAAGCCUGAUCCAGCAAUGCCGCGUGUGUGAAGAAGGCCUUCGGGUUGUAAAGCACUUUUGUCCGGAAAGAAAUCCUUGGCUCUAAUACAGUCGGGGGAUGACGGUACCGGAAGAAUAAGCACCGGCUAACUACGUGCCAGCAGCCGCGGUAAUACGUAGGGUGCAAGCGUUAAUCGGAAUUACUGGGCGUAAAGCGUGCGCAGGCGGUUUGCUAAGACCGAUGUGAAAUCCCCGGGCUCAACCUGGGAACUGCAUUGGUGACUGGCAGGCUAGAGUAUGGCAGAGGGGGGUAGAAUUCCACGUGUAGCAGUGAAAUGCGUAGAGAUGUGGAGGAAUACCGAUGGCGAAGGCAGCCCCCUGAGCCAAUACUGACGCUCAUGCACGAAAGCGUGGGGAGCAAACAGGAUUAGAUACCCUGGUAGUCCACGCCCUAAAACGAUGUCAACUAGUUGUUGGGGAUUCAUUUCCUUAGUAACGUAGCUAACGCGUGAAGUUGACCGCCUGGGGAGUAACGGUCGCAAGAUUAAAACUCAAAUGAAUUGACGGGGUCAUAGCUGUUUCCU